rnacentral:rRNA from 1 species
GACGAACGCUGGCGGCGUGCUUAACACAUGCAAGUCGAGCGGUAAGGCCCUUUCGGGGGUACACGAGCGGCGAACGGGUGAGUAACACGUGGGUGACCUGCCCUCAGCUCUGGGAUAAGCCUGGGAAACCGGGUCUAAUACCGGAUAUGACUCCAUGCGCAUGUUGUGGGGUGGAAAGCCUUGUGCGGCUGAGGAUGGGCCCGCGGCCUAUCAGCUUGUUGGUGGGGUGAUGGCCUACCAAGGCGACGACGGGUAGCCGGCCUGAGAGGGCGACCGGCCACACUGGGACUGAGACACGGCCCAGACUCCUACGGGAGGCAGCAGUGGGGAAUCUUGCGCAAUGGGCGAAAGCCUGACGCAGCGACGCCGCGUGAGGGAUGACGGCCUGG